rnacentral:tRNA from 1 species
GCGCUCGUAGCUCAAUUGGAUAGAGCGCCUGACUACGGAUCAGGAGGUUAGGGGUUCGACUCCCUUCGAGCGUGC